rnacentral:lncRNA from 1 species
GUUUACAUCUUUUUUACAUCUUUAAAAGUUAUGUCUGCAUUUUCUGGGAGAAUGUAUAAUGAGAUGUAAAUAUGACUUUUUCAUCUUAUGCACUCUCAAUUGAAGAUGCUCUUACCGUUCAGGUAGUUCAACAUGAUUUCUACUUUCAUCACAGUAGUUUUCUUGUUACAUUUUUGUCCUUCUAAGUUAAAUUUACUAACCACGAUUCUU